GUGAGGAAUAUUGGUCAAUGGGCGCGAGCCUGAACCAGCCAAGUAGCGUGAAGGAUGACUGCCCUACGGGUUGUAAACUUCUUUUAUAUGGGAAUAAAAUGUUUCACGUGUGGGAUUUUGUAUGUACCAUAUGAAUAAGGAUCGGCUAACUCCGUGCCAGCAGCCGCGGUAAUACGGAGGAUCCGAGCGUUAUCCGGAUUUAUUGGGUUUAAAGGGAGCGUAGAUGGGUUGUUAAGUCAGUUGUGAAAGUUUGCGGCUCAACCGUAAAAUUGCAAUUGAUACUGGCAGUCUUGAGUACAGUUGAGGUAGGCGGAAUUCGUGGUGUAGCGGUGAAAUGCUUAGAUAUCACGAAGAACUCCGAUUGCGAAGGCAGCUUACUAAACUGCCACUGACAUUGAUGCUCGAAAGUGUGGGUAUCAAACAGG
rnacentral:rRNA from 1 species